UCUCCCGCUUCUCCUCCCUGAGCGGGAAGCCUUAUCUGAUGAGGCUGCUUGAUCCCCGAUUUUACUCCCCUUUAAUCGGGGUUUUUUUU
rnacentral:ncRNA from 1 species